AAGCAUCUGACGUGCGUCCAUAAGGCAAGUUGAUUAGUCAGCAAGAUUAAUAACUUCUCAAUGCGAUCUCUACUGAAUAAUGAUCAUUUAAAAAAAAAAAAUCGAUCCCCACGGACUUAGACUGAGUUGGUGCUGUACGCAGAAUCCACCAGUUCCCAACUUCCGCUUUCUGGCUUCAAGAAGAGUAGAUUCUUCUCUGUUUUCUCCACGCUACCCGCAACCGCCAGUGUAUGGCUCUUCUUCUUCUCUUCCACCUCCCCAGCUCCCGAUCACGAGACAACGCUCGAACCGAUGGCGGCGUCGCCGUGGGAAACGAAGAAUAGCUUACGAAACCCCAACCUGAAACCCUAGAGAAAGAGCCGGCCCGCUCCGUGCCUCUGAUGGCGAGAAAUACGGAGGCCGGUGAGGCCUCCCAGCGGCCGCCGCCGGACGCAGCGUCUGUCCGGAUCCGGGCGCGGGCGGACCCCUUCCUCAUCCUCUGCCGCUGCUUCAGCUUCCUCACCGCCCUUAUCGCCGUUCUCUGCGUCUUCGUCAACGCUCUCUCCGCCGUCCAAUCCUUUAAGAACGGAUCCGAUAUUUUUGGUGGGAUAUUCCGGUGCUUCGCGGUCGUAAUCGCCCUCUUCGUAGCCGUUGCCGAGACCGAAUGGAGUUUUAUAAUGAAAUUUUGGCGGAUAUUGGAGUAUUGGGCUGGAAGGGGCAUGCUGCAGAUCUUUGUCGCUGUGAUGACAAGAGCUUUCCCAGAUGUCAGCGGGCAGCGGAAAGAUCUGAUACUGCUUCAGAAGAUUGCGAGUUACCUUCUUAUGGCUUGUGGUUUGACAUACGUGAUCUCGGGUGUUUUAUGCAUCGGUUUCUUGAAGCGUGCACACCAGCAAAAGGAAAUAACACGUGAGCAAGCGGUUAGAGAUCUAGAGGGGAAGGGUUUGAAUCUUUGACCUUAGGUUAACAGCCACUAGCUCCAACUAACUAAGAUGUGGAAUGGGGAGAUGUGAGGUGCAGUAUGGAUCUAGAGUGGGGAAACAUGAGAUGUGGGAGUGGAAGGACCGACAUCAUGACAUACCUCAUGUGCAGGCACAAUGGCAGACUUGGUAUUACAUAUUAGAAUAGGAAUUGGAACGGCGCAAGGAAGAGCUUGAGGCAUUGUUAGUUGUUGACAGGGCUUGAGUGUGCGAGCAAUUGUUGCUAGAUUUAACUUUGAGCACAAUCUGAGGAGCGGACAUGGUCUGCAUUUCCAAAUUAACUUCCUAAGUUUGCUUCAUGACCUCCAUUGCUUUGGUUAAUAUGAUGGAGUUGAAAUCUCGUAAACCCUGUUUCAUGUAAGUUGUUCAAAUAAAUUAUAUGAAAGUUGAAAAUGUUCAUUGAAGAAGAUUAAUUUAACUUAUUUUUAAGUUCAAAAAGAAAAAAAGCAAUUUCACCUACUUUCUGUAGUUGUUAAAAAUUUUGAGAAUACUCUGUUCUAUGUCCAGUUUCCAGCGUGGCGAUAUAUGUGACUGUUUAUGGUGUUUGAUUUCUACCUGGAUUAUUUCUCACUGGUUUUAUUAAUCCAGCCCUUCUUGAACUAUAAUAAGUUUUAUUUUUCGGUUACUCCUGUUUGGGUGAGUUUGUCGCUGCCAAUUACCCUCCUUUUUUGGGAAAAUGUUUAUGGGAUGUAGGGAGAAAAAAGACACUGCAAAUGAGGGAAACAGGUAACUAAGUGGAGCAGAUGGAGAAACCAAGAGGAAACUACUGGAUCAAGUGAAAACUUGAGCACCAGUUGUUUGUUUCUUAUAAAAUAUGUUUCCCAUGUAGUUUCCUUAAUUAUCUGUGUUUUCAGGUGGUUUCUUGUAUUAAUUGGAGCUGAAUAGAAUUGCUUCUGGCGCACACUGUCUAAUAAUCAAGUGGACUUCCAUGACGUUACCAUCUGGCUUGGGAGAUCUUUUAGAUGAAAGAUACAAUGGUUGUGUUUUCAAUUCCUAUACCAGUAAGAUCUCUUUAUGUGUGGUUGAUGUCUUCAUUGAGUUUGAUGGUGGAAUGAUUGGCACGUCUUUGUUUCUUUCACUUUAUUGUGAUGGACAGAAAUAUGAAUUUCAUGCUUAUGAUUAACUAGUUGGAAUGACUUUGAGAGGAUUUUAUGUCCUAAAAGGUUACUUCUAGACACUUAAUAGAUUGUCCAGUCCAAUUUGAUACAGAAACUUCCAAGAUCAUUUGAUUUCUAAAGGAAUGGUCGCAUGCAUGCCAUAUAUGGAGGAGAUUGCACUCCUUUUGGAUUUUUGAUGUGCCAUUGUUUUCUUGUAAGAUGAUACUAUUAUCUGCUAUCCAUAGGAUCCCAAAAAUGCUUCAUGGCUAUUUCUGUUAUAUCAAUAAUAUUGAUAGGUUUUGGUUUGCUAAUUUGCAAAUAUUUGUUUUUCUGCUAAUAUGUGCUUACUGGUUGUUCC